GGGCCUAUAGCUCAGUUGGUAGAGCAGUUGACUCUUAAUCAAUUGGUCGUGGGUUCGAGUCCCACUGGGCCCA
rnacentral:tRNA from 6 species